GAUGAACGCUAGCGGCAGGCUUAAUACAUGCAAGUCGUACGGGAUCCGAGAUAGCAAUAUCUUGGUGAGAGUGGCGCACGGGUGCGUAACACGUAUGCAACCUACCUUUAACCGGGACACAACCUUGAGAAAUUGAGGCUAAUAUCCCAUAACACUGCGAAAUGGCAUCAUUUUGCAGUUAAAACUCCGGUGGUUAUUGAUGGGCAUGCGCGACAUUAGCUAGUUGGUGAGGUAACGGCCCACCAAGGCUACGAUGUCUAGGGGUUCUGAGAGGAUUAUCCCCCACACUGGUACUGAGACACGGACCAGACUCCUACGGGAGGCAGCAGUAAGGAAUAUUGGUCAAAUGGGGCGCAAGCCUGAACCAGCCAUGCCGCGUGAAGGAUGACGGCCCUAUGGGUUGUAAACUUCUUUUAUAAGGGAAUAAAGUGAGGGACGUGUCCCUUUUGUAUGUACCUUAUGAAUAAGGAUCGGCUAACUCCGUGCCAGCAGCCGCGG
rnacentral:rRNA from 1 species